rnacentral:rRNA from 1 species
GAGUUUGAUCUUGGCUCAGAUUGAACGCUGGCGGCAGGCCUAACACAUGCAAGUCGAGCGGUAGAGAGAAGCUUGCUUCUCUUGAGAGGCGGCGGACGGGUGAGUAAUGCCUAGGAAUCUGCCUGGUAGUGGGGGAUAACGCUCGGAAACGGACGCUAAUACCGCAUACGUCCUACGGGAGAAAGCAGGGGACCUUCGGGCCUUGCGCUAUCAGAUGAGCCUAGGUCGGAUUAGCUAGUUGGUGAGGUAAUGGCUCACCAAGGCGACGAUCCGUAACUGGUCUGAGAGGAUGAUCAGUCACACUGGAACUGAGACACGGUCCAGACUCCUACGGGAGGCAGCAGGGGGGAAUAUUGGACAAUGGGCGAAAGCCUGGAUCCAGCCAUGCCGCGUGUGUGAAGAAGGUCUUCGGAUUGUAAAGCACUUUAAGUUGGGAGGAAGGGCAGUAAAUUAAUACUUUAGCUGUUUGACGUUACCGACAGAAUAAGCACCGGCUAACUCU